UACGUAGGGGGCAAGCGUUGUCCGGAAUCAUUGGGCGUAAAGCGCGCGUAGGCGGCCCCGUAAGUCCGCUGUGAAAGUCAAAGGCUCAACCUUUGAAAGCCGGUGGAUACUGUGGGGCUAGAGUACGGAAGAGGCGAGUGGAAUUCCUGGUGUAGCGGUGGAAUGCGCAGAUAUCAGGAGGAACACCAAUAGCGAAGGCAGCUCGCUGGGACGUUACUGACGCUGAGGCGCGAAAGCGUGGGGAGGGAACAGG
rnacentral:rRNA from 1 species